rnacentral:rRNA from 1 species
GAUCCUGGCUCAGGAUGAACGCUAGCUACAGGCUUAACACAUGCAAGUCGAGGGGCAGCAUGAACUUAGCUUGCUAAGUUUGAUGGCGACCGGCGCACGGGUGAGUAACACGUAUCCAACCUUCCGUUUACUCAGGGAUAGCCUUUCGAAAGAAAGAUUAAUACCUGAUAGUAUGGUGAGAUUGCAUGAUAACACCAUUAAAGAUUUAUUGGCAAACGAUGGGGAUGCGUUCCCAUUAGGG